CCUACGGGAGGCUGUAGUGAGGAAUAUUGGUCAAUGGCCGUAAGGCUGAACCAGCCAAGUCGCGUGAAGGAAGAAGGAUCUAUGGUUUGUAAACUUCUUUUAUAGGGGAAUAAAGGUAUCCACGUGUGGAUAUUUGCAUGUACCCUAUGAAUAAGCAUCGGCUAACUCCGUGCCAGCAGCCGCGGUAAUACGGAGGAUGCGAGCGUUAUCCGGAUUUAUUGGGUUUAAAGGGUGCGUAGGUUGUUUUUUAAGUCAGCGGUGAAAGUUUGUGGCUCAACCAUAAAAUUGCCGUUGAAACUGGCAGACUUGAGUGUGUUUGAGGUAGGCGGAAUGCGUGGUGUAGCGGUGAAAUGCAUAGAUAUCACGCAGAACUCCGAUUGCGAAGGCAGCUUACUAAGCCAUAACUGACACUGAAGCACGAAAGCGUGGGGAUCAAACAGGAUUAGAUACCCGGGUAGUC
rnacentral:rRNA from 1 species